rnacentral:pre_miRNA from 1 species
AUGUGGAUGGAAGUCUUGAGGAUUGGGAGGAUAGGAGAAGGCUGUUUGCUUAAUUAUCAGUUGAAACCUGAUUAGUCUUCCCUAUUCCUCCCAUUCCUAUUGCCUCCAUCACACAUCCCUU